rnacentral:lncRNA from 1 species
UUAAUUACAAAAUUUACCAAUCCGUACUAUGAAUCUGCAGGUUAAUUACAAAAUGUAUAUAUACUAAAUUGGAUUAUUAAUAGCAAUCCUAAAUAUUUUUAUUCUCUACCAUAUGCUUUCAUCUUUUUUCCCCACCUUAUUUGUACAAGAGAACACUUACGGGAGUACUGCAGGGGGCUAAUUUUUUUCAUCGGAGGAGAGGACUACAUAAUGAUAGCUAGCUGCACUCUUAUAAAAGUAAGAUGGUAAGAUUUAUAACCUAUCAACAUAUAAUAUAUUUGGCUCUAGCAUUUGAAAUUCUUCCUUUUUUUUAUAUCUCGUACCAUACUAUACUGUAACUGAAACUUAUGACAAACUAACAUAAUGCUUGCACAUAUUGCCCAUUCAGUUUCACAAAGCAUUUUAAAUCUGCUUUUUUUUGGCAUAUCUUCCUAGUACUACCGCUAAAUGUAGAAAUUAUACAUCAGUCAUGCCUUCUUUUCUAUUGUUUUCGAGCAUAUAAUGCCUCUAAAAAUGGAUAAGAGCCAAUGCAUCUUUAAUUCGUAAAUUUUGGAAUAUCGAUUAUUUUCUCCUUAAUGUCUUAUGUUUGCAACUCAGCAUACAACAUAGCUUUAUAUUUUAAUAGGUUAACGAUGUGACACCAAGCUAUCUAUGAAGUUCUAUGUUUGUUUUUCUUUUUGCAAUAAUCACACAAUGCAUCUAGUCUUCAUAACUGCAACCUAGAUCAUCUGGAAGGAAAGAAAUCACAAGAUAUUUUGGAAUAUUGACCCAUCAUUUGAUUCUCGGAAAACUAUAAGCUAGAUUAUUCCCUUCUGCUACAUAGAGCCAAGGCUGAUCUAGGGCCAGCUAUAUUCUCUGUUGUAAAUUCAGUAAACUAGCUAACCUUUUUUUUGUUUUUAUUCUUCGCCUAACUCUUCCUUUGGCUUACCACCUCUCAGCAUUCAUUCUUCAUUGGUUAUAUGGUGCUGGGUUUGAGGGUGGCAGCCUCGGCUGGACAACAGAUGUAAGGUAAGUAACUUGUGAGCCUUUAUGUGUUUGUAUGACCUUCCCUACUGACUUUUGAUUAAAAAAACCACAAUUCACAUUGUAUCAAGACACUAAUUCACUAUACAAGGUGGAGAAAUGCUGAUGGCUUAGAACAUGCCGCUCAAUAGAUGUAGUGGAAUUGAUUAUCGCAUGAACUCUGUACAUUGCUCCUCCAAAUUUUAUUUCUCUAUUAAUCCGAUUUUCUCUAAUGUAAGUUACUUAUCUCAUUUCUUUGCUGUUGCAGAUUGCGAAGAUAAACUAAUAUGCAUGGCUCGGGUGUGGAUUGCAAGGUCGAGAAUGAAGCUACUACUAGAUAGUUCCACAUGAUGUUUUAGAAUUUUUUUUGCAAGAUCAAUGCUUCAAACAUUAUGUUUUUACAAUGGCUGAGAUGUUAAUUGCAAGGUCGAGAAUUAGGUUGCUGCUACUAGAUAGUUCACAUCUUGUAAUCUUUGGAGUGCGUUCUUUGUAAUGCAACAGUCAAAUUAAUAAAUGAGACUUUUUUUGCUUAUUAUAUUGUGGUUCUUAUAUGUGCUUUAUCAGCAUUGACAUGGUAACUCUAGAUGGCAAUAUUUGAAGUACCAUUAAUUUUCAU